GAACGCGAAGAACCUUACCUACCCUUGACAUGUCCAGAAGCCCGGAGAGAUUUGGGUGUGCCCGAAAGGGAGUUGGAACACAGGUGCUGCAUGGCUGUCGUCAGCUCGUGUCGUGAGAUGUUGGGUUAGGUCCCGCAACGAGCGCAACCCUUGUCGUUAAUUGCCAUCAUUUAGUUGGGCACUUUAACGAGACUGCCGGUGACAAACCGGAGGAAGGUGGGGAUGACGUCAAGUCCUCAUGGCCUUAUGGGUAGGGCUUCACACGUCAUACAAUGGUCGGUACAGAGGGUUGCCAAGCCGCGAGGUGGAGCCAAUCCCAGAAAGCCGAUCGUAGUCCGGAUUGCAGGCUGCAACUCGCCUGCAUGAAGUCGGAAUCGCUAGUAAUCGCGGAUCAGCAUGUCGCGGUGAAUACGUUCCCGGGUCUUGUACACACC
rnacentral:rRNA from 1 species